GAGAGCACAGAGGAGGCCGCAGAGGCAGGAGCAACGCCCCAACCACGUGGCCUCCAGCUAGGCGCGGACCCACGGCCCUGCCACCCUGCAAGCCGGGCCUCUGCCGCCUUCACUGCAAAGGGUCUGGGCAUUCACUCUGCAGGGCUCUCGCUGCUGCUGAGAAAGGUCAGUCUGCAGAGGGCUGGGCCCCAGCCUGGGCCCCAGCUGCAGGGCAGGCCCGUCAGGAGCUCAGCGUCUGCUGCCGUAGGCAGUGGAACCCCCGGGCAGGAGAGUGCUCGCAGCGAUGGCCAUGCCAGACCCUCCUCAGUUCACAGAGGGCUUCUCCAGCCAAACCCCCGCAGCCUGGGAGGCGUCAGGCCGGGCUCAGCUCUCCUAGGCAGUGAAGCCAGAGGCGCCUUGGCUGGACCGAGGGGAAGCAGGCUGCUGUGUGCUGGGCUUAGGUCGGCAAUGUGCCCCCACCUCUGGGCCAGAGGUCUGCAACUGAGAUGUGGGAGCUGGGCUCCCCACCGCCCGCAGCCCCUGCAGAGUCUCAGCCAUUUCUUCUAAUGAGGCUCACCCCGCCUCGGACUCACCACUGGGGCACACUGGAGCGUGGACACCUGCGCUUUGCAGCUCCAAUGGCACCUCACUGGAAGCUCAGAGCAGACUCAGAGCGGACGUGAACCCCAAGGGGUGGAGAGAGCCCAAGGCCUGGCCUGAGAGCUCGCAGACAGCCGGACUCAGACCCCUGGCCCCACUCCUGCCAUGCUGGGCUUGGUCCCUGGACUGUUCUGCCCUGCUGCGAUUUCGGGGCAGGACGCCCACCGCCUAGCUGGGCAACAGGCUCUACUCAAGGGCCAGGGGAGGAAAGUCCUGCUCACAUCGCUCGCCGCCGGCCUGGGUGACAGACCCGGCCGUCCCUUCCAAGUCUCCUCCAGGACAAAGUCUCCAUUUUCCUCCCUUGAAAAACAGAGCGCUCAGCCCCUCCCUCCCUAGUUUCUGGACUUUGGAGUUGAAUCUCCAAGGACACGCCAGGUCCUCGGGUCCCACUGAGGAGGGUGGCUUUGGCCAGGUGUUCCGGCACCAUGCCCGAGUCAGGUGGAGCUGGGCAUGGUCUGUGCCCGCUGGGGAGGCCACGGAGUCUCCCAGCCUGGGGCCAGAGUCAAGGACAAGGCCCUCUGGCUGUCUGCACUGGCAUCUGGUCACCGGCUACCUUGGCCGCACGCAACACUCCCAGGCAGAGGCCUGGGCCCUGAGGAGCUGCGGGAGACAUCCUGCCACUGCUCGGCUCAGUGCCAUGUCUACUAUGGCAAAGAAAGAGAAAAAAAGG